rnacentral:rRNA from 1 species
AGCAGCCGCGGUAAUUCCAGCUCCAAUAGCGUAUAUUAAAGUUGUUGCAGUUAAAAAGCUCGUAGUUGAAUUUCGGGGUUAGUAGGUUGGUCAUGCCUCUGGUAUGUACUGGUCUCACUGAUUCCUCCUUCCUGAUGAACCGUAAUGCCAUUAAUUUGGUGUUGCGGGGAAUUUGGACUGUUACUUUGAAAAAUUAGAGUGUUUAAAGCAAGCUAACGCUUGAAUACAUUAGCAUGGAAUAAUGAAAUAGGACGUUCGAUCCUAUUUUGUUGGUUUCUAGGAUUGACGUAAUGAUUAAUAGGGAUAGUUGGGGGCAUUAGUAUUCAAUUGUCAGAGGUGAAAUUCUUGGAUUUAUUGAAGACUAACUACUGCGAAAGCAUUUGCCAAGGAUGUUUUCAUUAAUCAAGAACGAAAGUUAGGGGAUCGAAGACGAUCAGAUACCGUCGUAGUCUUAACCAUAAACUAUGCCGACUAGGGAUCGGAUGAUGUUAAUUUUUAAUGACUCAUUCGGCGCCUUAUA